rnacentral:misc_RNA from 1 species
GUAUUAACAUUAAGCCCAUAAGGCUAAUGACAUUCUACAAGACUAUAAUGAAGUUUGUGAUAAAGGGCAAAGUGCAAUCCCGGCAUCUCAUUACAAGACACGGCUCCCAUGACGGAGGACUACAAACUUUGAAAGUGCACAGGUGUUAAGAUGGAUUGAGUGGAACUGAGCACAAUGCCUAGAGUAUAGGCCAGCAUCAAGUCCCAUUUCAAAACUCAUUAAAUGAUCCUUCCGCAGGUUCACCUACGGAAA